AGUUUACAUGAGUGUCCUUGCACUUUAUCAGGAGUUAAGGCAGAUGUGGAGGCACAACGGGUGAUACCAGACACACACCAAGCACAUUAUGUUCGGACAUUCAAUCAUGACAGGAUCCAGGUGGAUGCUGUCCAUUGAGGAAAGAGUUUGUUCCGAGGUUUCUGGAUAGAAUUAAUUCCAAAGAUGGGAAAAAGUGCACAUCCAGACAAGGAGCAAGCAAAAAGACAAGGAACUUGGUGCAGAGAAAAGCUGUGGCCAUUAACCCCCAUGUGAACAGCUUCAUGCAGUCCCUGAUUGAGUUCGAAUGGACGACUUCAAAGUAAAGGCCACUGUGGUCUGUCUGCCACAGUUUAAUGCAUUUAUUUUUAGUGUUAAAUGAAAUUCAAGUAGAAUAUUUAAAACUAUGAGCCAGUGUUGUUUUUACCACAGUGAAAUGUUACCUUUUAGUCGAUGAUGGACUUUAAACUGAAAACUUCAAACUAUGGAACAGUGUUCUAUUUGCCAGAGUUAAAUAUGUUACAGCAGGGGUCUCCAAACUUGUUUAUACUUGUUGAUUUUAUUUUAUGUUACUUGAUUAUAUGUUUAUUAUUGUUUAAAAUCUUGUUUAAAAUAUGUUUGUUUCAAUUAAAUGUUUUUUUAAAUAAAAUUUUGAUACAAACAUUGCUUGGAUUGCCUUUUAAUUCAUUA